AUACCUGAGGUUCGGCAAUGGAGCACACGACUGAUAAUCGUGCGGUCCUGGGUUCGAAUCCCAGCGGGCCCA
rnacentral:tRNA from 1 species